GUGUCAGCAGCCGCGGUAAGACGAGGGGUCCUAGCGUUGUUCGGAAUCACUGGGCGUAAAGCGUAUGUAGGCGGCUCUCUAAGUCGGUUGUGAAAUCCCAUGGCUUAACCAUGGAAUUGCGUUCGAAACUGGAGAGCUUGAGUGUGGGAGAGAUUGGUAGAAUACCUGGUGUAGUGGUGAAAUACGUAGAUAUCAGGUGGAAUACCGGUGGCGAAGGCGGCCAAUUGGCCCAACACUGACGCUGAGAUACGAAAGCGUGGGGAUCAAACAGGAUUAGAUACCCCGGUAGUCC
rnacentral:rRNA from 1 species